rnacentral:rRNA from 1 species
UACGUAGGGGGCAAGCGUUGUCCGGAUUUACUGGGCGUAAAGAGCGUGUAGGCGGCCACGCAGGUCCGUUGUGAAAACUGGAGGCUCAACCUUCAGACGUCGACGGAAACCGUGUGGCUAGAGUCCGGAAGAGGAGAGUGGAAUUCCUGGUGUAGCGGUGAAAUGCGCAGAUAUCAGGAAGAAUACCGAUGGCGAAGGCAGGUCUCUGGGCUGACACUGACGCUCAUGCACGAAAGCGUGGGGAGCAAACAGG